UACGUAGGGGGCAAGCGUUGUCCGGAUUUACUGGGCGUAAAGCGCGCGCAGGCGGUCUCUUAAGUCUGCUGUGAAAGCCCACGGCUCAACCGUGGAAGGUCAUUGGAAACUGGGAGACCUGAGUGUGGGAGAGGAAAGUGGAAUUCCACGUGUAGCGGUGAAAUGCGUAGAGAUGUGGAGGAACCCCAGUGGCGAAGGCGACUUUCUGGCCUAUAACUGACGCUGAGGCGCGAAAGCGUGGGGAGCAAACAGG
rnacentral:rRNA from 1 species